UCUGCUUUCCUUUGCGGCUAUUCACAAGCAUAUCCAGCGGGUGGUUCUGCACAUCGUCUCCGGCCGUGUUACGUCUGCAUUUUUCUCGCCGUUGGCUUUCAGCUGGGAGACGGAGAUUCGUUCAACUCCCUCCACUACUUCUGGCUAGUACCAUGUAUACAUUCCAGUGGUACUACGGUUGUUUACUCGUGUGGCGUAUAAGCCCUGUGGCAUUUAAGGUUCCGAAUAUCUGCUUUUGAAUAAAGCCGUGUUUUCCGCUGACGGCUAUGGUUCGUGUUCUCUCAUUGCUCCUUUCCUUAAUCCUGUUGCUACACCUUUGCACUUCCGCAAGUACAAAUUUUGUGGGCUUCCGAUGAAAUUUGCUGUCGAAUGUAUUUACUAUGCAAACCUUCGAGGUUAGGUUUAUGUUUCGGAAAACUUCCUUCGCCAGAGUUUCCAAAAAGCUUUUGUAUGUUGCUCUCCGAGUAAGACGACGCUGCAUUUCUUCCGUUCCAGGUUAUAUUUCUUAGCUGAUUUCAUUUCCUCAUCCGCAAUUUAUUUCGUCUACUCGGAGUGCCACAUUUUCCCCAAUGCUUUUGUAACUCUACGUAGUCUUCACUUUUGUCGAAGGUUGCCGUCCUAUUCUUCAAUGUAUGCUCCCAGUUUUCUGGUUCCACCUGUCGGGUCCGCAGAAUAGGUUCUCCAGGUUCAUCGUGAACUUGUGUUAACGAUUGCUUCUUAAUGAUACCACCUACUUCGCAUACUCGGGUAUAUAGUUCUCCAUUAUGCAGUACACAUGCACCGAUCGCUUUUCGCAGUAGACUUGAAAACUACGAAUGAGCCUUUCACAGAAACCGCUCCCACACGGUGUUUCGUGGCGGGAAUUUCCACUUGGUGAUAGGUCAUCAAUUGUUCAGUUGUUUAUCGACGUAAUGUUGCUGUGACCGCAUUCAAUCCCUUAUUCGUUUUCCUGAAAGUCUUGCAUUGUUGCUGAGCACAUUUAUGUUCGAGCUGAGAAACGCCGGAAAUGGUGAAGAAAACUGAUGUGAAGCGUCUCCAACAGUUCCGCAGUGUACCUCUUGUCACGGCAAAUGUGAAAGUUGCUACACAAAGUUUGGCUAUGUUUCCUUUUUUUUGUAGUUGCUCCCAGCGCACCGUUGAAACGAAGACCAGUUAUUUCAAUGUGGGCUUCGUUACUCUAUCUUCAAGAGGAAGUACUUGCUCUUACGACGAUCUGGAAUUAUAUCUCAGCCACACAACGCACUGUCGUAUUAUUUCUUUCACGUAUACGCGCCAGUGUACCGCGUACUCCACCGUGAAAUUUGUCCAUAUAGGUGCCGCACUAAUAGUCAACGGAUUUCUUCCAUUUACAUUUGAUCGGGUGCUGCUCGUCUUGUGAUACGGGCCCUACCGAAGGCGCCCUUGAAGUCUCAAUCGGUCUUUAUCUUAAUAUAUCUGGUAUUCACCUACUCCCUGCACAUUCGCUUGCUUAAUUUCUGCAAUUUUUCAAUAUACACACUUUAUUCUAGCCAAAUGAGGCAGGUGUCGGCGGUUAUUAUUUCUUCUGCUUUUAGCGGACCGUAGAACUUGUCCUCUAAUAUUAUUCGCGGAACGAAACAUUCACGUUGUUCUCCCAAUAUUCAUGUAACUGCCGAACUUGUCAACUUCAAUUCCUCGUCUUGAGAUCCUUUUCGACGCAUGUCUGACACGAGAAUCGUCUCCUUUCCUUUCAUUAUUAACCGGCAUUUUGUGACGGCUAUUUGGCCUGUGGCAACUGGGAUCCCUUCCACAAAAUUGUUCGCUACAUUUUUUCUCCGGUGACUCCAGGUUAUAUCUGCUCGAUUUUUCGCUACUAUUGACGUAUCCCCAUUCUCCUACUGAGCAAUUUUGUUCUCGUGUAGUCUGUGUUCAACGUGUGCUUCGCGCAUUUUCUGUCUCCAAUGCAGCACGAUUGUACAAGUGGUCCGAUACUUUACUGUUGCUCGCAAGUUAUAAUUUGCGAAACUGACGACGGUGUUCAUUAGAGCUACUCUGUUCUUUGCCAGGACCAGCAGUCUCCACUCUGAUAUAAACAGUACCGUGAAAGUUGCACUUGAAUACACCGCCGGGCUUGCAUCCGAGAAGUCAGUGCUUACGUUCAGUUGUCGAUGCGCUCUUGAGGCAUUUAGUCCUUUAUCUUCCUCAGUAUAUAUUUUCAUAGGUCAUUUAUCUUCGUCUGGGAGAAGGUUGUCCCAAGAUUCCGGUUUUUUCCAGUCAUUGAAUACCGAUAUUAGCUGUUGCAGUGCAGGACGUUAAAUUCCAGCCGACCGAAUAUUUUUGCCCUGGCUUGAAGUACUCUUCGCUUCGUGACCAUUUUACUCGAGUCUUCAUAUCGAUAUGAUAGAAUACCGUCGGCCGUGUCCCAGAUCAUUCCUAGAAUACUGGUCUGGCUUGAUUACGUAAGGACGGCACCUUGAUGCACGUUUAAAUUCUCAUUUCUUCACUGUUUGAUGUCCCUUUCCAAAGAUUCAUUGCAGCUCAGCGAAAUUUUUUUUCUUCUAUGUACACGCCUUUUGCCUGCUUUAUGAUGUUCCAAGCAUAACUUCAUCAACGCAAAUUUAAUUACGUUUGCUGUCAUUGCAAGACUUUCUUCCAAAAUUCAUCCACAGUGUAGGUAAAUCUGCAUUCAAAUUUCCUCCUGUCUGAAGAUAAUCAUUCAGAGCAGUCCUGAUCUUAACCACGAGGCGUCAAAUACAUUUUAUUUUCUUGCUAUUCGAUAUUCACGAAUUGCUUGAUGGCGCGAUAUGGUAGCUGUUGUUCAAAUUAUUCCGAGCACGCUCCUUCUGCCAUUCCAAGCGUGAAACAUCUCGCAUUGAACAAUUGUAUUUUUAUCUCGGUACUGAAUGUACCUUCGAGAUCGUCUUCCGAUUGCUACUGUGUUGAUUUCCACGUUAACUUGCUCUCUCCAUCCUUCUGAACAGUCCUUGUGACUACAUAGCCCACUUUAUGCAUCGUUUCUUUCUGAAGAGUUAAGCCAGUAUUUUCCGCCAUUAAAAAAGUUCGAAAUGCAAGUUUCGUCAGUUUCUGCGACGACAAGAACCAUGGCGAGUUUCGCGUUUCGCAGUUCUCUUCUACACCACAUUAGUCAGGCACAAUCCAGUCGGGAAUUUUCUAUUUUCCUUGUGUCUUCGUUUGGUCUUCUCACCGGGCUUUCCUCCUCACCUCCACUACUACUGGUUCUGCCCUCCCGUUUUCAACUGCGGUCCACAAGCGUACCCAGCGUGCUCUUGCAUGCCUCUAUGGUCUGCGCUCCAAAAGAUUACUUCGGCCACGCGCAUCACCUGUUCCAGGAGCGUCUUGUGCUGCUUCUACGUUCCCUCGCCAAUAGCGUCCUGCUGGUACACUGGACUUGCCUUCUCACCCUGCGCUACUACUGGUUCUGCACUCCUGUUUUCAACUGCAGUCCACAAGCGUACCCAGCGUGCUCUUGCACAACUCUAUGGUGUGCGCUCCAAAAGAUUACUUCGGCCACGAGCAUCACCUGUUCCAGGAGCGUCUUGUGCUGCUUCUACGUUCCCUCGACAAUGGCGUCCUGCUGGUACACUGGACUUACCUCCUCACCCUGCGCUACUACUGGUUCUGUACUCCUGUUUUCAACUGCAGUCCACAAGCGUACCCUGCGUGUUCUUGCAUGACUCUACGGUCUGCGCUCCAAAAUAUUACUUCGGCCACGAGAAUCGCCUGUUCCAGGAGCGGCUGCUACUGCUUCUACAUUCCCUCGCCAGUGGCGUCUUGCUGGUAGAGUGGACUGGUUCUGCACUCCUGUUUUAGAUUGCGGUGGGCACAUAGCACGCUCCUGCACGCACUCUCCGGUCUGCGCUCUAAAAGAGGUUACAUCCGGCACGAGCAUCGCCGUUCCAUGUGCGACUGCUAUUGCUUCUACGUUCUCCCGCCGACGGCGUCCUGCUGGCAGACUGGAUUUAGCCUGGCGCCCUUGCACUUAAUUUUGGUUUCCAGUGUUUGCUGUCGCUUGUGGCGCAAGAGAAAUGUUCCAGCACGCCCAUUUACAAGAACAUGCCUGGCCUUGCCUCACGAGCAAACACCUUCAGCCCGAUCGUCCUGCCGCGUGCUCUCUACAGCAAGCUUCCUCAUGGACUCGUGAACGCGUCGCACGCCUGUCUUGGCGGUGUCCUGCACUGUCUUGACGGCGUGUUCAUGCUCUAAAGGACUGCGUGUCGUCACCGUCCCACGACCGUCUAUCCGAUGUUCUCCAGUUCGCUGUUGCCCUUUUCCGCAGGCAUAUUUAAUAAGUUUAGUGUAGCAAGCUUUUCUGCUUUGAGAGUGGUACGUUGCUAAGCGAAUGGAUGGCGCUUCUAGAAAUUGGGUUAUUACGAAGCAGAUCAUUAAAAAGGUACUUACGUGGACACCACUCAGUCCUUAAUAAGGACUGUCAACGUUUUCAUGAGCGAAUCUGUAAAUUUUUGGUGGCGAGAGUAAUGGACGUUCAUUGACAUUGUGCACUUUUGUAGUAGUGUGUGUGUGUGCAUGUGUGCUUUUGCAUGUCACCUACUCUGUGCUUUUUUUUUCGAUCGAGAACGUAUAUGGGCUACGCUGCUAGCUGGCGCACUUCGACUUUUUAUAUUUUGGUAGCAUUUCCAGCGUCACAUUUGCUUCACUUUUCCCAGUUCAUUCCUCUUAGGAGAGAGAGAGAGAAAGAAAUAAACUUCAUUGUUAGACCAGGCUUCUUAAGCCUAAAGGUGGGCGGUUUCCUCAGUCCAGGUAGCCAUGGCUCGCUUCCGCCGCCCGAGCCUUUUUCACCAAUCGUAGCUGGCUGUCAGGGUCUUGCGUCACCAGCAGAGCCUCCCACAGGUCUUCCGAUUCUUCCUCCAUAUCCGCUUCUUCCUGCUUGUUAUCGCUUGGUGGUGAUGAUGACGGUGGUACUUCGCCGUUAUUUCUGCACUACAGCACCUUAUGGCGCAAGGUGUUGGGUGUGUCCGGCGGGCAGAGCUUGCAGUCUCGCCCGUAGGUGCAUGGAUACAUGGCGUGUAGCAGUGUUCCAUGCGGGUAGGUUCCAGCCUGGAGUCUUCUCCAAGUUACUGCUUGCUCCCUACUCAUCGUCUUAUACGCGGGUGGUAGCGACGCCUCUGCUUCCUGUAGUGCGCCGGGAUGUCAGUACUUCUUGGACAUCCGUUCAUCAUCCUCGUCGCAGUCAUUGGUCCGUGUUCUCUGCGUGUCGGAGAUGGCUCGGCGUGCAUGAUCUCGAGCCGCGGCGAGCGCCGCCUGGUUCCCCGCGAGGGAGUCGUGUCCCGGCGUCCAGAGGAUCUGUGCUGUUUCUAUUUCGGUGUUGGUCAAGACCUGAAGUGCUGCCUUUCCUAUCCUUCCGUUCACAUACCUCCUGCAUGCUUCUUGCGAGUCCGUCGACACGGUAACCAGGGUCUUCUUGCGCGUUGCGAUGGCCAGGGCUAUGCCCAGCUCUUCCGCUGUGUUCGCGUCCUUGGCACGUAUAGAUGUGGCUGUAAGUUGUUCGCCCUUCUCGUCGACCACGGUGAUUGCAAAUCGGUCGUUUGUUCUGUACGCAGCUGCGUCCGUGUAUCUCACAUUUUCUUAUUUGCUGUUUGUGCGUUCCAGUAUGUGCUUCAGCGCCUGUAUUCUCGCCUGUCUCCUUUCCUUGUCGUAGUCGGGGUGCAUGUUUCUGGGAAUGGUACUUAUGUGUAGCUUGUCCCUGAUCUCGUGUGGGAUACGCUGAGCUAGGUGCCUCUCAACCUCGACUUGGUAGCACAGAUCUUGGUGCAGGGCUCUUCCCGUUUUUGUUAGCUUUAGUCUCUCCAGUUGGUUGACGUUGUGCGCUUCCACGAGCUCUUCCCACGUGUUGUGAACUCCCAUUUUGAGUAGUUUCACUGUGGAUGUGGAAGGGGACAGGCCCAACGCAAUUUUGUAGGAUUUUCUUAUGAGUGCGUUUACUUCGUCUCGUUGACUGUUCAUGUCAACGUAUGGGGUCCCGUAGGUGACGAUACUUGUGAGCAGCGCUUGUAUUAUUCUCGUGCAGUCUUGCUCCUUGAGUCCGUGUCUUUUGCUCGUCACUCUUUUGAUAAGGUGGGUUAUUUGUUGCAUUAUUCUCUGAAUUUUUUCCAACUCUGCUGCUCCGGCCCCGUCCUUUUGAAUCGGGAGCCUGGGGAUGCGGAGCUUCGUUACCUGCGGAAUCAUGCCUCCCACCUUUACUUCCGGGUCUGGUACAUGCUGCGGUUGUCGGCCUCUUGUGCGCUUUCUUAAUACCAAGAGCUGACUUUUCUGGUGCGCACGUCAGUCCACAUGCUUCCAGGUACCUCUUCGUUGUGUCAACAGCUUCUUGCAGAGCGUCUUGCUGUUUACCUGUCGACCCUCCUGUAGUCCAGACGGUGAGGUCGUCAGCAUAUAUUGCGUGUCCAAUCCCUUCUAUUUGCUUCAGUUGUUUGGGUAGCGAGCUCAUCGCUAAAUUGAAUAGCAUCGGCGAAAUGACGGAGCCUUGUGGCGUUCCCUUUCGUGGUAUGUCGAAUUUCUCAGUAUAAGUUGUCUAUCCCCACUGUAGCUGUCCGUUCUUUUAGAAAAGCUUUGAUGUAAUCAUAUAUAUUUUUACCGUAAUUAUUUACGUUGAGGCGUUGCAGUAUGACUUCGUGUGACACGUUGUCGAAAGCCCCUUUCAUGUCAAGUGCGAGGAUGGCUCUUUUUCUGUGCGUGUCCAGUUUGUCGACGACUUUUUCUUUGAUCUGCAGUAAUACGUCAUGCGUGGACAGGUGAGCUCUAAAUCCGAACAUAUUGUUUGGGACGUGUCUGUUGUCUUCGAGAUGUUCGAUCAUGCGGUUGUGCACCAUGUGCUCUUAGUUUUCCAGCACACAACGUGAGGGAUAUAGGUCGAAGGUUCUGCACGCUGAUGGGCUUGUUGGGUUUAGGUAUCAUGGUUACCUCGGCGUUUCCAUUCCGGUGGUACUUUACUGUGUUCCCAGCACUCGUUGAUGUAUUUUAAGAGUGCGUCCACAGAGGAUCCGUCAAGGUUUCAGUGUGUCUUGUUGUUUAUUCUGUCGUACCCCGGCGCCGUGUUGCGGGUGAGCUUGCUCAAGGCCCUCUUGAUUUCUGCUUCUGUGAAGGGCCGAUCCAGUUCUAUAUUUAGGUUGCCACGAUACUCGACAAAGUGCGAAUCUACAGUUCCGCUCUGUACCGAGGAACUUCUCCUCCACUUCUUUGUCUUUCUCUUUCCCCGGGUGGUUGUGUACAAGUCUCUGCACUCUGUUUCGUGGCGUUCUUGUUCUCCUUUUUUGAUAGGAGUGUCUUGAGUACCGUCCAUGUGCGCUUGCUGCUUAAGGUCCCUUGAAGCUUGCUACAUGUUUCGCGCCAGUUCUGUUUUUCAAGUUGUUCAGAGUACUCUUGCGUUUCCUUGAUCAGUUAAGAGAUUCGAAUUUUGAGUUUCCGGUUGCAUUUGUUACGCUGCCAGAGUUUCGCGAGUCCCCUCCGUGCCUCCCACAGGUAGAGUAAGUGGGGGUCGACUACGGGGUGACUUGCGACAGCUGGAUUGUCUUCGUAUGCUUCUCGGCUCUUUCCACGACUCCUCUGAUCCAUAAUUCUAUGUCGUCUAUCGUCGCAUUAAUGGCGCUCUCGUCUUUGCGAAAGGCCUGCCAGUCGGUGAUCUUGGCUUUUCCAAUCUUCAUGGUCGCUUUGUGGUGCGGGAUGAUCGUUUGCACUAUAUGUGACGAAGAUCGGCAGGCUGAAAAGCCCCGUUGCCAUCGCGUGGCUCGUACCCAGUUCGUUCGCUGGCUGCGCCCUACCUGCUGUUGCCGCGUUGGUCGCUGCUUCUCUACGACCCGAAUAAACCCCCUUUACAAUUGGUGGAGCUGCUGGGUACAACCGGAAUUCUGGAACUUCGCAACCCGACACUGCAGCCUGUCUUCAUUAUGCCGGAAGAAGGACCACCGCAACCACAACCCGCUGCCCCGGUGACUAUACCGUGGUCUGCCCCGGCGCGUUGCGUCAACGCGACCCACCCAUCUUCAGCGGUACCGAAGACCAUGACGUAGAAGACUGGCUCGCUGACUACGACCGGGUGAGCAUCCACAACCACUGGGACGACACGAAAAAACUGAAUUACGUAUCCUUUUAUUUGAGUGGUGUCGCCAACGUGUGGCACCGCAACCAUGAACGUGAUCUCACGACGUGGGCAGCCUUCAAAACUAACGUGACGGAGGUAUUCGGGCGCCCCGCCGUCCGCGAGCUUCGCGCCGAGCAACGUUUGCGCAGUCGUGCGCAACAGUGCGGGGAGACAUUUACAAGUUAUAUAGAAGAUGUUGUCGACCUCUGCAACCGCGUUGACGUCACAAUGGCUGAUGCCGAGAAGAUCCGCCAUAUCUUAAAAGGCAUUGAAGACGACGCCUUCCAUAUGCUGUUGGCGAAAAAUCCGGCGACAGUCUCUGAACUCGUCAGUCUCUGCCAAAGCUUCGACGAAUUCCGCAAACAACGCAUAGCCACCCGCCAAUCUCCUCCUCAGGCGACUUCAAUGUCGAGCUUGGCUGUUUCCCCAGAUAACACGUCCCUACUGCUACAGAUCAAGGAGUUCGUCCGUGAAGAGGUGGCUCGUCAGCUUUCUCUGAUUUCCCGUACACACGGCCAGUCGAAUUCUCCGUUGGCGCCCGCUCUCCGAUUUGUCAUCAAGGAGCAGGUAGCCGACCACAUUCCACCUUCUCUCCAGCAGGCUCCGGUUGCCGCUCCCCUGACGUACACCGAAGUCCCUUCGAGGCCUGCACCACAGACCUACGGUCCCCUUCGCCCCGCCUUUGCGCCCGCCCGUAUCCGCUCCAGUCGGGCCACUGGUGCAGUAUGCACGACCUCAAGAUCAUUGGCGCACGGAAGACAGUCGCCCGAUUUGUUUUUAUUGUGGCCGUGCUGGACACGUAGCACGUCACUGUCGCCUCCUUACACCGAACGUCCCCAACAAUGUGCACCCAUAUGCGCCACGUUUCCAACAACGCCACAACUAUUCGGACACCUUUGAAUCUCCUCCUGUCGUCGACACCGCAUUCUCCGCCGCUCGCCGUUCACCUCCUCGACGCCGCUCGCUUUCCUCCAUGCACCGGCGUCGGAGCCCGUUGCGCCAGGAAAACUAAAUAUUGCAGAUCAGGAGGCGAGAACUGCGGUGCCAGUGAAAUGUAUAAGGCCUCACACUUCCCCGAAGAAUGUUAUUGAAGUCGCAGUAGACGGAACAUUGACGCUAGCAGCUGUCGACACCGGCGCUGCACUUUCAGCGAUAGAUGCCCGUAUUUGCCGCAAGACAGGAAAAGUGACGCCGCUUUCUGGACUGUCUCUUCGCACUGCCAACGCGCAGCACGUCUAGCCAUCCGGCGCCUGCACUGCUCGUGCCGUAAUUCAGGAGGUCCUCUAUAUCAUAGAAUUCAUCGUGGUGCCAUCAUUUUCACACGUCAUAUUAGGUUGGGACUUUCUCUCCACACAUCAUGCGAUCAUUGACUGCGCCCGCGCCGAAAUCGAGCUGUUUCAGUUUUCGAUCUAUAUUAUCACUGGCCAUAAGGGCCAUUGUCGCAAAAUCUGUUUCAGAAGACACCGUUAUACCUGCCUGGUCUUCCACUCUUGUCAGUAUCUCUUGUGACUAUGUAGAUGACGGCACAGUACUCUUGGCUCCGUCUGAACUUAGUUAGCCGCCGUUCACUACUCCUGCCGUUCGCCGUCCUCGAGUUCAAAGCUGGCGCCUCUCUCAUGUGCGUCUCAAACCCAUCGGCUGCACCAAUUACUUUACGCCGCUGUGAAAGCCUUGGCAGAGCAGAGCCACUGACCUCAUCUUCAAUAUUUGACACGAUGGACGACUCCACUUAUAUUGCUGCUCUCGAGGCAUCGCGUCCUCAGUCACUACCGCGUUCUUUUACGCCAGCUAUUGCCAGCGACCUUACGACGACGCAGCGCGACGAACUUCUUCACUUGCUCCAAGCCUUCUCUUCCUCUUUUGAUUGCCAAGCAACAUCACUCGGCCGCACAACGACUGUUUCGCACACUAUCGACACUGGGAGCCAUGCACCAAUUCGACAGCGUCCCUACCGAGUAUCGGCGACUGAAAGACGCGUUAUCAAUGACCAGGUGAACUAUAUGCUCAAUCGUGGUAUCAACCAGCCUUCUAGUAUGUAUACUUGGGCAUCACCAGUCGUCCUAGUUAAAAAACAAGACGGCACCAUGCGGUUUUGCGUCGAUUAUCGAAGGCAUAACAAGAUUACCCGAAAGGAUGUAUACCCGUUGCCACGUAUUGACGACGCACUUGACUGUUUGCAAGGGGCGGAGUUUCUUUCCUCCUUAGAUCUCCGCUCUGGCUACUGACAGGUGCCCAUGGCUGACGCUGACUGUUAUAAAACCGCGUUUGUAACACCAGAUGACUUGCAUGAAUUCACUGUGAUGCCGUUCGGUCUGUACAAUGCGCCCGCCACCUUCGAACGCAUGGACGGCAUCCCACGCGGCCUGAAGUGGCAUACUUGCCUCUGCUACCUCGACGACGUUGUCAUCUUUUCCCCUGAUUUUCCGACCCAUUUUCGGCGUUUACAUCAAGUUUUGACCUGUCUCCCGAAUGCUGGUCUCCAGCUUAACUUAGGAAAGUGCAGAUUUGCAGCUUGAAAACUGACUAUAUUAGGCCACGUUGUCUCCAAAGAAGGCAUUCUUCCUGAUCCUGAUAAACUUCACGCCGCAUCCGAAUUUCCGAAGCCCACUAACUUGAAAGCACUACGCAGCUUCAUUGGCCUAUGCUCCUAUUUUCGACGUUUCGUUCGCAAUUUCGCUACUGUGAUCGCACCACUUAACCAACUUCUCCAAGGCGACAAUGAACUUUCUGCUUGGUCGGAAGCCUCUGAUGAUGCCUUUACGACUCUUAGUCACCUACUCACGUCUCCGCCAGUCUUGCGCCAUUUUGAUCCAAGCGGACCUACAGAACUUCACACUGACGCUAGUGGUGUCGGCCUUGGUGCCGUGCUCGCACAACGCAAAAACACUAAUGCCGAAUACGUAGUCGCUUAUGCUAGUCGUGCCCUCGCGAAACCUGAGGCCAAUUACUCAGUCACAGAAAAAGAGUGCCUGGCUAUCGUGUGGGCUCUUAAAAAAAAUUCGUCCAUAUCUCUACGGUCGACGCUUGACCUGGUGACGGAUCACGCUUUUUGCUGGUUGUCCAACCUAAAAGACCCGUCGGGCGGCCUCGCUCGGUCGGCCCUCCGAAUCCACGAAUAUGAUAUCCGUGUCGUCUAUCGUUCUGGACGCACACUCUGACUCCGAUGCCCUCUCGCGCUCCCCAGUUACUUCAGACAGAACUUCUACCUACAGACAUGACAUCUCAGCACUUGACAUCCUGGAAAUGGCAUCGGAGCAACGAAAAGACCCAUGGAUCGUCGUGAUAUUCGACUUUUUGUCAAAUCAACUUGGGCACCUCGAGCGUUACGCCGACAGGCGCAGCAUUUCACAAUCCGCGACGGACUUUUAUACCGGCGCAGCUACCACAAUGACGGCCGCAAAUGGCUUAGUAGUGCCUCGCCACCUACAAGAUUUAUGCUCAGCUUUUCAUUCGGACCCGCAGUGUAAUCACCGUGGAGCGUCAAAAACCUACACACGGCUUCGCCUACGAUACUGUUGGCGAGGGAUGUACACCUUCGUCCACAAAUACGUACGCUCCUGCAUUGCCCAGCGACGCAAAUGUGUCUCGCAUCUCUCCACCGCACUUCUCCAACCACUUCCCUGCCCAGCUCAGCCAUUCGACCACGUUGGCAUUGAUAUAUACGGGCCUCUUCCAUCUACUGGCGCUGGCAACCAAUGGAUUGUUGUCGCCGUAGAUCAUUUGACACGGUAUGGUGAAACCACCGUCUUGCCUGCCGCAUCAGCAAAAGACAUCGCCUCGUUCAUUCUAAACAACUUCGUUCUCCACCGUGGCGCCCCUCGUGAACUGUUGAUCGAUCGGGGCCGCGUAUUCUUCUCGGACGUCCUGCAGUCACUCCUAUCUGAAUGCCAAAUUAUUCACCGCACUACUACUGCUCAUCAUCCACAGACCAAUGGCUUAACAAAACGAUUCAACAGAACUCUUGGUGACAUGCUAUCAAUGUAUGUUGGAUCUGACCACUCCAACUGGGACCUUGUACUUCCGUUCGUCACUUAUGCAUAUAACACUGCCUCUCAAGCCACUACCGGAUUCUCGCCAUUCUUUCUGCUUUACGGCCGCCAUCCUUCCAGCACCAUUGAUACUGUUCUCCCGUACCGGCCGGACCCUGCUGAAUGCUCACCUGUUUCUGCGAUUGCUGAGCACGCCGAGAAAUGCCGACAACUGGCCCGUUCUUUGACGUCUGCUCAACAGUGCCGCCAAAAAGAGCGCCAUGACCUCAAUCCUCCCCCUCACCCCUUCCCCGUCGACUCACUCGUGUCGCUUUGGGUCCCGCCUGUUGCUGCUCCUAGCCUUUCGUCCAAGCUCCUCCCAAAGUACCACGGGCCCUACCGCGUGGUUGCACAAACAUCACCAGUGAACUACGUGGUCGAACCCAUAUCGCCAUCUCCCAAUCUGCGUCGUCGCGGGCGAGAGACUGUGCACAUUGGCCGGCUGAAGCAGUAUUACGAUCCGCCCACCUCUUCCUAGGUCGCCAGGAUGGCUACUCUUCAAUUCCGGGGGUGAUUGUGACAAAGAUCGGCAGGCUGAAAAGCCCCUUUGCCAUCGCGUGGCUCGUACCCAGUUCGUUCGCUGGCUGCGCCCUACCUGCUGUUGCCGCAUUGGUCGCUGCUUCUCUACGACCUGAAUAAACCCCCGUUACAUCUAUAAUGGUCGCUACCCAGAUUCUCGUCCAUGCAGCUCCACUCAUACUGUUCGAGUCCUUCUACGAAUGUGAGGUCGGGGCUGGUGUUUCUAGAUACACUGUUGCCGAUGCGCGUGGGUGUGUGCGGGUCGCUGAGUAGCGUGAGGUGUUUUUGGGCUACGUUGUGUACAUCUCCUUUUUUCUUUGAGGUCGCAUAUCCCCAGGCCACAUGGGGAGCAUUAAAAUCAGACUAUCAGUCCGUUACCCUUACUCAGCUUCACUUCUCGCAUUAGCUUCUCUAGAUCCUUUAGGUGGUCCUUCGGCGGGCUGUACACGUUUAACAGAGAGGCUUUGCUGUUUUUUCUCGGGUACGAUUUCGACGAGGGUGUGUUCGAUGCGGUGUUGGAUGUCGUAUCGUUGAGCGUUGAUGGCCUUCUUGGUCAGGAUUGCUGUCCUCGUCUUACCGUCGGUGACGUGAGUGAGGUAACCACUGACCUUGAAGUCUUCAGCUUCGGUUUCUUGUAAGGCUACAAUGUCCGGGUUAAACUGCGUGCAGAAUUGUACAAGGUUGUUUCUCUUACUUCAAAUAAGAUGACAGUUCCAUUGCCAAAUUUUGAGCCAUGGGUGUUGCUUGUAGUCAUCUUUCUCUUUAUUUAGCCUCGCCAUCUUGUUCGCUUAGGCUCUGCAUGAUCUUGGCUUCUCUCGCAGGGUACUUAGGCUUCUUGCGAGUAUUAUCUUUCUUCUAGCAUGUGGAUGCGUUGACUGAAACUUUCUCCCGUUUGAGUCAUCUUGUUCUGUAGGGCCUGAAUCUGGUUGUCAAUUUCGCUCUGGAGAGAUUGGAACCGUCUGUAUCAUCUGGGUUACCGUGUUUUGCAUAACCUGUGUUACCGUGGACAUCGUGGUUUCCGUCAUGGCGGUCACGCUGGCGUUUAUGCGGUCUUCAUGUGUCUUCAGGUCGUUCUGGGUUAUCACCGCUUGGUUCGACAGUGUUGCUGGCUUUAGUUGUGUUGCUGAGGAUGUAGGGAUGAAGGUCGCGGUAGUGGUGUUUGCGAUUGCUGGCCCUUUUCUCUCCGUAGUUCUAUUUCUCGCAUGAUUGAUUCGCGCUGUUUUCAGUGCUAGCUUGCUUCUCUAGUGUCUUCUCUUGCUGUUCUAGCUCUCGCUUCAAUUCAUCGUUCUGUCUUCGAAGAAUCCAUUAUUUUCCCUCGACGUAUGAUUGUGCCCUGUGAUGACGCUGGCCCAGCUUACCUUUCGCUGGGUGUUGUCGUGUUCCACGCCCGUUGCCGGUAUCCGGGGGAUGCUCUGUUCUCUUUACCUCGAUCUCGAUCCCGACUUGGAUCACGAUCUUUUUGUCUUUUCGGUCUCAUUCGGUGACUGUGGCGAUAGUUACAUGGUCAUCAUGUGCUCGUUGUCGUUGGUAGUUACUACGCUGGCCUGGUACCAGAAUCUUGUCUCGAUCUUGACCGCUCCCUGACUCUCAACGGUGGCGGGGCCGGUUUCAGCUUCCUUCGAUAGUCUCUGCUCGCCGUUUCAUGGGGCAUUCCGCAGAGCUUACAUUUCGGCUCGCAUUGGUGGUUGUUUGGAUCAGCGUUGUGUUCUCCGCAGUUGUCAUAGUUCGUCGUUUGAAUUAGGGCAGAUGUCUUGUCUGUGUCCUAUCUCCCCGCAAGAUCUGCAGUACUGGGCUGACUUUCUGUAGGGUCUGCAGCGGGUGAGUACAUCCAACUUUAACGUAGAACGCCACAUGCGGGCCCUCGAAGGUGAUCACUGCCGACGUCGAUCUUCCCAGCAUUCUAGCGUAGAGGAUUUUGCAAUUGUUGGUCGUUGCUAGUAGAUCUACUAGCUGCUGUUCGGUGGUGCCUUCCUCUAUUUCGUGAACAACGCCACAUACAAUGCCCGGAAUUGGUUUCAGGUACGGUGUAACUUCGUAUGUUGCGUGUCCUAUUUCGAUGCUUGUUAUUUCCGCUAGUUUGAGUGCGCAGUCCUCUUCUUCGGUACUUGCCAUAAUUAAGUUUUCUUGCCACUGUGUCUGUAUCACUUUGGCGUAGAGCUCCUGGGGUGCGACUCCGCAUGCUUGGGCUAAUCCUCUUGCUGUCACUCCGCCUUUCCAGUUUCAUACUUUCACACCGGCUUUAGGUCUGCACACAAUCUUGUAAUGGUGUUCUGGUAGCGGUGGAGUCGUUGGCCAGCGAGGACGUGGCUUGCUUGCGUUGUUUUGGGCCCGUGGCUUUUGAGGAGCUUGUUGCCGUUUUCCAUCAUUCGUGUUCUGCCCUUGCUGUGUUCGUAUGAGAACUUCUGCGUAUUCGACGUUACGAUGGAUUCUUUCUGAUGUCGCGCUUGUAGCAUCACGCACGGUCCGGUCUUGCAUAGUGUUUUUCCGCUGUUGCUGUCGAACGUCGGCUCCGUGUCGUUCAUCUCUGCUUCAUUAUUUGUUACUCCUGCUAUGGAGCUCGUUCGGUCAACUUCCAUAACGCUUGGUUGCGGCUACGCUUGAAGAGAGAAAACACAUUUAAAAAGCCGUUGUCGGGUGGCCCGGCGUGCACGUGGAUCUCGAGGCGCGUGGCCCCGGGCAGCAGGAUCGGCAAUCGUGGGUAGGCUUAGCUGAGCACGGCCGUCGCCUUGAAAGUUUCAGGAAUAGUACUUGCGUGAAGAAUAAACUCGCGUCGGUGUGCGUGGUCUGUCUGAAUGGCGUUUCUCGAGAUGAGUCGAAUGCUGCGGACAGUCAGACGCUGCGAGGGGGCGAUCCGCAGUAAUUGCAAGCUGUAUUGCAAGCUGAAGUUAAGAGGUUCCUGGUUUUAUGGUUUACUAUGGUCUAUGGACAUCCGCUUUUGGAUUGGUCGAACCGCUGGUUUCUUUGGCUUUGGUCCUUGGGUUGAUCUCGGUACUCGUUUCAGCAUUCAGCGGAUUUAUUCAGGCGUCUUUCUCGUGCCAGAAACGGUCUUCACACAUUCUCGGUUCUUCCACGUCGCUGAUCACUGACUCGAAAAGAUCAACAUGCCGCUACAAAAGGACACAAUGUCAAAGAAUGGGAAAGGGGAGGGUGCUUAUUCUCGCCAAAAAACGUUUCCUGAUUUGCACAUGAUAAUGACGUCCAUCUUUAAGAGUGGUUGGUGGUGUCGCCGGGCUCACUGCUUCUAGUUUUUUGGUGUGCUUGACUAAUCAAAUGCUUUUAUGGAUCUAGAUGGCCCAACUUAUGUAUUACCUGUCGUUUGUUUAUCGGACAGGGCUACCCGCUGUCGUCGCUUGUUCACCGCGUAUACGGCGCCUUAGUUCGAAAUUUGUGUCAACUAUCACCUGCUCUGCAAGAUCGGUAGGAAUGCUAAAGCGCCAUGGUGCUCUUCUCCCGACUGUGACGUCGUUGUUACACAUUUGUGUAAUUUCGUGAUUAAAGUGCACCGCGUGA